rnacentral:lncRNA from 1 species
UGUGUUUAAUUGCCACUUGGAACAGAACAAAGCCCUUCUGGCACAGCCCUGACAAGAGCAGGAUGUCGAGUAGAGGCUUGAAAGGCCUCGCUCCUCCCUGCCAAGGCCCAGCUCUGGUAUGUCCCCGGACAGGCCGGAGUGUCCACACCGGGCUGUGUGGGAGGGCAGCGCACUCCUCUUGAAAAGCCGCUUCCUCAGCUCUCCCCUGACGUGCUUCCCAUGCAGAGGAAAUCAGCUGGGAUGCUGCUGUUUGCUUUUUCUGAAAAGCACAGCCAGCCUUGAACGCUGUGUCAGCAGCAGUUUUCUUUCAGAGAGGAAAAAACACAUUUUAAAGGUCUGUUAGGGGUUGGGGUUUGGUUGGGGGUUUUUUUUUGUUUCUUUGGGUGUUUUUUAUUAUUAUUUUUAAUUUUUUAAAGGAAGGGCCUGAGGAAGAAAGUUCAGCGAGCAGGAAGCUGAGGGAGCCAGGCCGGCAUCCCGGAGGGGCGAGGUGCUCUCACCUUGCGGAACGCGGGGAUUGCGACACCCGAGCAAAGAGGUAAAAUUUAUAUCCCAUAAAUCACAUGUCAAGUGCCUGUGAGGAGAGGUCAUUAAACAGAUGUAUGAGGCAAGAGGCAAAGUCCAUCCAUUUCAGAAGACGCUCCCAGUGUCAGCAGCUCUCCAGAAGUCUCAAGAGGCAGAGGGAUCCAACCGGCACGGCAGCAGCUUCCCUGAUAGUCUCUUAUUUAUUUCCUCCUCUCUUUAUUUGAUGGCAUUUUCUUUAUUGGAAGAACUUCCCAGGCUUUGCUCUCCCCUGUCACAGCUGCCCAGUUGUGGGGGCUGAGGGAGGGGAGAGUGGAGGCUGGCACAUCAAACAGCUCGGGAGGGGUGGAGGCUGCCCUGUGAUUAAUAAUCCCACCAAGAGCUUUUACUGGGCAUCACGUGGAAAAUGCAGCUUUGGAAACAUUUGUCUUCAUCCCACAAACAACAAGUGGUGUUUCUUUCCCUUUCUUUGUUUCUCUCUGCACACACACACACACACACACACCCUUCCUCCCUCCCUCUCUCUCUUUUUGCUUUUCUUGCCCAGAAUCACUGAUUAAAAUCUUUUCCAUGCUUUACCUGCUCCAAGUGGCUCCUGUUCUGGUUUGAUUUAUGCUUUGCUUAUCUCAGGCUUCAGUGGAAAAAUAAUGACCAGAUAAUAAAGAGCACUAAGUAGCUUUUCA